rnacentral:tRNA from 1 species
AUUUAACUCAGGUGCAGAGUGCUCGCUUUGCAUGCGAGACGUCGGGGUUCGAUUCCCCCAAUCUCC